GUCCCAGAAACUCAAAAGAGUACUAUUCUGAAAAAAUACAUGCUGCAGGCUCAACCCUGCCUAGGACA
rnacentral:tRNA from 1 species